UUGCCCCUAAAAUCAAGGCCAACAGUUUGCUGAAGUGUUCAUUUCAAGCAGAAAGCCUAGAAGCCUAAGAAAUGUCUUCUAUGGCUACUGGCCAUUUCAGAACUCUGAAAAUAACAUGAUCAAUUCAUUAGAAAGAAGCAUCU
rnacentral:snoRNA from 1 species